rnacentral:rRNA from 1 species
AACGAACGCUGGCGGCAUGCCUAACACAUGCAAGUCGAACGAGACCUUCGGGUCUAGUGGCGCACGGGUGCGUAACGCGUGGGAACCUGCCCUUAGGUUCGGAAUAACUCCCCGAAAGGGGUGCUAAUACCGGAUAAUGUCUUCGGACCAAAGAUUUAUCGCCUUUGGAUGGGCCCGCGUUGGAUUCGCUAGUUGGUAGGGUAAAAGCCUACCAAGGCGACGAUCCAUAGCUGGUCUGAGAGGAUGAUCAGCCACACUGGGACGGAGACACGGCCCAGACUCCUACGCGAGGCGGCAGUGGGGAAUGUUGGACAGUGGGCGAAGGCCUGAUCCAGCAAUGCCGCGUGAGUGAUGAAGGCCUUAGGGUUGUAAAGCUCUUUUACCCGGGAUGAUAAUGACAGUACCGGGAGAAUAAGCUCCGGCUAACUCCGUG